rnacentral:sRNA from 1 species
UAACUGCCAAGUGUACGGGCACUCUUCCCGUA